rnacentral:rRNA from 1 species
ACGGGUACGGGGUGUUAGGGCACGACACCGGAGAGGGAGCCUGAGAAACGGCUACCACAUCCAAGGAUGGCAGCAGGCGCGCAAAUUACCCAAUCCCGACACGGGGAGGUAGUGACAAUAAAUAACAAUACGGGGUUCUUUAGGAUCUCGUAAUUGGAAUGAGUACAAUUUAAAUCUCUUAACGAGGAACAAUUGGAGGGCAAGUCUGGUGCCAGCAGCCGCGGUAAUUCCAGCUCCAAUAGCGUAUAUUAAAGUUGUUGCAGUUAAAAAGCUCGUAGUUGAAUUUCGGGGUUAGUAGGUUGGUCAUGCCUCUGGUAUGUACUGGUCUCACUGAUUCCUCCUUCCUGAUGAGCCGUAAUGCCAUUAAUUUGGUGUUGCGGGGAAUUUGGACUGUUACUUUGAAAAAAUUAGAGUGUUUAAAGCAAGCUAACGCUUGAAUACAUUAGCAUGGAAUAAUGAAAUAGGACGUUCGAUCCUAUUUUGUUGGUUUCUAGGAUUGACGUAAUGAUUAAUAGGGAUAGUUGGGGGCAUUAGUAUUCAAUUGUCAGAGGUGAAAUUCUUGGAUUUAUUGAAGACUAACUACUGCGAAAGCAUUUGCCAAGGAUGUUUUCAUUAAUCAAGAACGAAAGUUAGGGGAUCGAAGACGAUCAGAUACCGUCGUAGUCUUAACCAUAAACUAUGCCGACUAGGGAUCGGAUGAUGUUAAUUUUUAAUACCCCUCGC